UAGUACGGCGAGUGAAGCGGGAUGAGCUCAAGCUUAAAAUCUCCGUGCAAUUUUUGCACGGCGAAUUGUAGUCUAUAGAGGCGUGGUCAGUAUAAGCACUUGGGGUAAGUUCCUUGGAAAAGGACAGCAGGGAGGGUGAUACUCCCGUUCAUCUCUAAGUUGCUUGUGCGUACGACCCGUUUUCUUUGAGUCGCGUUGUUUGAGAAUGCAGCGCAAAGUAGGUGGUAAAUUCCAUCUAAAGCUUAAUAUUGGUGCGAGACCGAUAGCAAACAAGUACCGUGAGGGAAAGAUGAAAAGAACUUUGAAAAUAGAGUUAAAGAGUACCUGAAACUGCUGAAAGGGAACCAAAUCGUUUCCAGUGUCUAUAAUCCGUGGUAUAUUUCAUUGGCGAGUGUGUGCGUGCGUGUGCUGUUGCAGUGGCUUUUUGGCUGCGCUCGGUGUGUGUGCUGUGUGUACUUGCUGGUGCCCUGUGCUGCGGUGGGACGUCAAGGUCAGUUCGUAUGCUGCGGGAAAUGGCUACUGAGGAGGUAGGGCUUACGCUUGCGUUUGUCUGUUAUAUCUUGGUGGACGAGUCGUCGCGGGUUGGGACUGAGGUGCCUACAACGUGCUUUUGAGUGGGCUUGGGUCUCCGUGUGCGCCGUGUGCGGAUAGCUUGCUAUGCGUGUGUGGUUGUAUGUGGAUUGAUGCGAGCCGUAACU
rnacentral:rRNA from 1 species